rnacentral:pre_miRNA from 15 species
ACGUGCAGACCCUCUGAAGGGAUCACCUUUGCUUUAACAUGGGAGUACCUGCUGUGCAAAAUGAAAGUAAGUGCUUCCAUGUUUCAGCGGAGGUGUCUCCAAAGCGACACAUUUUCAACU